rnacentral:lncRNA from 1 species
AGUUAAACCAAUCCCUCAGCAGCUUCGCCAAACCCCACUUCCCCCUGUUUUACUCACACUCUCUUCUAUUUCACUAAAUUCCUCUCCCCAAACAACCAUUGCACCAAUUUGUCUUUGUUAAACCAACAAAAGUAGGUGAAGAAUCAUCCACUCUUGUACUGUUUUCCCUCACAGUACUCCUAGAACCUUUGCUCUCUUUUCUUUUUUUUUUUUCAUUUUUACCACUAACUUCUCUAGAUUAUAUAGUCUCAACACCUGCUAUGCAUCCUAUAAGUCUAUUCUAAAAAUUUACAGCAACUUAGAAAUUGUCUCAGGAGAACGUUUAGAGUCAGAAGAUACCUUUUCAGUUUUGGAAGACCUACUUUCUUCCCCCCUUAGUAGUAGACUUAAAUGGAUCUUAGGAUUCUUCUUCCUUACCCUCUUUCAAUUGCUUGUUUAUUUUCUUGAUCUCCUCUCCUUCAGAGGUGUUCGACAAUCUAGGCUAGGGCAUGGAAAAGAAGAGAAUUAGAUUGUAUUUGGAAGACAAAAGAAGAAUGAGAGUUUUGACAGUUUGAGAAAGAUGAAGUAAGAAAUAAAA